UUCCUUCAUCAGUGUAAAUUUGCAACUUCUCUCCGAACAACCCAACCUUAAUCAAAUGAUCAGAAUAAUCUCACUUAUCUGUGGAGUCCAUCAAUAAAAUGUUGAAGUUAUGCGAUGGCCUUCACUUCAAGCACGUAUAUAUGUCUCAAGAAAUAACUUCUUCUCAAAUGAGGGGUCGGGUCGGGUCGGGUCUGAUUAACUUGACUUGGGCUGGAGGCAAAAGCUUGGAGUAGCAUACAAGCCCAAACCGCCAUUGCAUCGGGCACUUUUCUAUUCCUUUUUCUCUUUAGCUCCCUCCAUUGAAACACUAAAACGAAGCUCUCUCCUCUAAUCUUUGCAGCUCAAUCUCAAUGUCGAUAUUCGAGUACAAUGGGAGUGCCCUAAUAGCGAUGGUAGGGAAGAAUUGCUUCGCUAUAGCGAGUGAUCGGCGACUCGGUGUCCAGCUCCAAACUAUUGCCACCGAUUUCCAGCGAAUCUACAAAUUCCACGAUAGGCUCUUCAUGGGUCUCUCUGGCCUAGCUACUGACGCUCAAACUCUGUAUCAGAGGCUUGUUUUCCGUCACAAAUUGUAUCAGCUGCGAGAAGAGAGGGACAUGAAGCCUGAGACAUUUGCUAGCCUUGUCUCUGCUCUCCUUUAUGAGAAAAGGUUUGGUCCAUACUUCUGCCAACCUGUAAUUGCUGGAUUGAGUGAUGAGAACAAGCCUUUCAUUUGCACAAUGGAUUCAAUUGGUGCCAAGUAUGUUAUUUCUUCUCUCUAUCAUUAUUUCAAGCUUAAGUCUCCGCAUGCUGGGUUGUUUUAGGAACUUGAAUGUGCUAGUGUCCACAUGAAGGAUGCAUCAUUUUUCUGUUAUUAUUAGAUUGAAAAAAAAAAAAGCAGAAGAGUGCAACUUAUUUUUUCCUUGCAUUGCUCAAUUUGAUUUCCAAACUUCAUAAAAAAAAUUUUAAAGGACAUGUUGUAUUUAGCCAGAUAAUCAUUAUUUUCUGAUAUAUUCCCUUAUCUCCCCAGAUUCUUGUGGUAUAUUGGAAUUUGAUCAAAAGCUGAAACUUUAACAGGAAAGCCCAUUUAUAUUUUAUUGUGACUUUAUUGGAUUCAUUCACUUUUGGUGGUAGAAGUUAUAUUAAUUUCAAUGAAGUCCGCUUAUUGCCUGUUCAUAUCUUAUCGGCAUUACUGGUCGUGUUGUUUCCACAUGUAAGUAGCAUGUGGGACCUUACUGUACAAAUCAAACUGCAAUCUGGCUAGAAUUUUAAACAAUUUUCAUCAGAUUUUGUUUGCUGUGCCUACUUACACAUGCAAGAUUCUUUUCUUUUUUACUGUUUUCCCUCUUUAUCAAAUACAGGGAACUUGCAAAGGAUUUUGUUGUUGCUGGAACAGCAUCAGAGUCGCUUUAUGGUGCUUGUGAAGCUGUGUUCAAGCCUGACAUGGAACCUGAAGAAUUAUUUGAAACUGUGUCUCAAGCGUUGCUAUCAUCAGUAGAUCGGGACUGUUUGAGUGGUUGGGGUGGACAUAUCUAUGUUGUGUAAGCCUUCAUAUGCAUCUCUUAUUUUUCUGUUUGUACUAUAGUUCAUAGAAAUAUUUUUCCUGCGAAAUCACGCAAUGGCCUUAAGAAGUCUUGAUUCAUUCUCAACACCACCUUAUAGUUUUCUGUUCUCAGUUAUUGAUCAAAUUAACAUCUUCCUUCUCUUUUCUCUCUGUUUGCAAAAAAUCUAGUUAUAGAAAGGAUCUAAUGCUGAUCUCAUAAAGUUUAGUUUGUUGUUGAGUAUUGUUAAUUAUCCUUUUGGAGAGUUAGUGCAUUGGAUUUUGGAACAUUUUGAAUGAAGCCAUUUGCCUUCAGUUUAAAGGAUGUAGAAUGUCUGUCCUGUGCUCCAAACAUAAAAUAUGGGGUUAAUCUACUAAUAUUUGUGAUGCUAAGCUGUGCCUUUAUGUUUGUUUGAAUUUGAAUAAAAUCUUUUGUAAGAUUGUGGCUACAUUAUUGCCCGUUCCAUGAACAGUUAAGUUUUCAAUUUAUUCCUAAGCCAUAUCCAACAAUUGGAUUGUAGUGUUUUUGAAUUUUAAUUUCCUUGAUCUUUAAUUGGAAUUUUCUUCAUCUUCAGAGUGAAUUUCGAAUCUUCUGAAGAUCAAAUUUGUUGUUGUGAUUUUAUUUUUACUGCUCUUUAUCAUAAAUGCAGCAUUACAUAAUAUUAAGUUAACCAGAGAAUUAAAAAGUAGUUAUAAGUUUGUAUGAAUGUCUUAUCCUAUCAACUUUGGUGAUCGGAUUGUUUUUAAAACAAGUGAUAGUUAAUAAUUCCAUAUGUUGCCCAAAUGCAUGCAAGAGGAGUUUGAUUGUCAGAGCUGUUUUCCAAACCUCUUUUUUUUUUUUCUU
rnacentral:misc_RNA from 1 species